CCUACGGGAGGCAGCAGUGAGGAAUAUUGGUCAAUGGACGAGAGUCUGAACCAGCCAAGUAGCGUGAAGGAUGACUGCCCUAUGGGUUGUAAACUUCUUUUAUAAAGGAAUAAAACGAGGCACGUGUGCCUUUUUGCAUUUACUUUAUGAAUAAGGAUCGGCUAACUCCGGGCCAUCAGCCGCGGUAAUACGGAGGAUCCGGGCGUUAUCCGGAUUUAUUGGGUUGAAAGGGAGCGUAGAUGGGUGGUGAAGUCAGUUGUGAAAGUUUGCGGUUCAACCGUAAAAUUGCAAUUGAUACUGGCAGUCUUGAGUACAGUUGAGGUAGGAGGAAUUCGUGGUGUAGCGGUGAAAUGCUUAGAUAUCACGAAGAACCCCAAUUGCGAAGGCAGCUUACUAAACUGUGACUGACAUUGAUGCUCGAAAGUGUGGGUAUCAAACAGGAUUAGAUACCCCUGUAGUC
rnacentral:rRNA from 1 species